rnacentral:rRNA from 1 species
CGGGAGGCAGCAGUGAGGAAUAUUGCGCAAUGGGCGAAAGCCUGACGCAGCAACGCCGCGUGGAUGAUGAAGUUCUUCGGAAUGUAAAGUCCUUUGGUAGAGGAAGAAUAUCCCGGUUUACCGGGACUGACGCUACUAUAAGAAUAAGCCACGGCUAACUCUGUACCAGCAGCCGUGAUGAUACAGGGGUGGCAAGUGUUGUCCGGAUUUACUGGGAGUAAAGGGUGCGCAGGCGGGCCGAUAAGUCGGGGAUUAAAUCCAUGUGCUUAACACAUGCAUGGCUUCCGAUACUGUCGGCCUAGAGUCUAGAAGAGGAAGAUGGAAUUUCCGGUGUAGCGGUGGAAUGUGUUGAUAUGGGAAAGAACACCAGUGGCGAAGGCAGUCUUCUGGUAGAGCACUGACGAUCCGGCACGAAAGGGUGGGGAGCCAACAGGAUUAGAUACCCUGGUAGUCCACGCCGUAAACGAUGAAUAGUAGAUGUUGAUCAUCUUGAUCAGUGUCGCAGCUAACGCGU